GUGGGUUGGAGCAAAAUAUAAAUAGGGUGGAGCAAAACUAAAAAUGGAUGGUGCUGCCGGUGCAACCAUGUGGAUUGCAUUUUUGCAGUGAAGGGGCGUCUUCAAGGCAUAUACAGGCGGAAAUCGUCUAGCUACGGAUGUUGUUUGCCGCUGUUAAGGAGAUGUUUCCAAGCAGGAGGAGGUUCUUGUGCUGGGUGGUUGUUGGGGAGAGAUUUUUGGCUCUGCCUUGUGUGGGUCUCGAUGGCUUCCGCUGUGGCGGUAUGUUUUUCUUACGGAAGUGUUUUUAUUGUCCGCGCUUCUUGCCAUCUUGCUUCUGUGUUGUCUUCAAGUGCAUUUCUCGCUGGGGAC
rnacentral:lncRNA from 1 species